rnacentral:lncRNA from 1 species
UCAGCUAUAAAACCAAUACAUUAGUUCUCACUGAACCCAACCAUAUCAAACUCACCUAUACACAGUCAAUCCAACCUAAAUCUCAACCCAUGCAUUAGAUUGUCCAGACCUGAGCCGCAACCAGCUGAAAAUAAUCUAUAUAUGCAAUCAAUCAAAUUUAAAAGAAGAACAACACAGUAUGUGGAGUACCCAAGCAUGAACAGCAACACAUUUUAUGGAAAUUCCAUUGUCUUGAACGCAA